CACGUAGGGUGCGAGCGUUGUCCGGAAUUAUUGGGCGUAAAGAGCUCGUAGGCGGUGUGUCGCGUCUGCCGUGAAAACCUGCAGCUUAACUGUGGGCUUGCGGUCGAUACGGGCAUCACUGGAGUUCGGCAGGGGAGACUGGAAUUCCUGGUGUAGCGGUGAAAUGCGCAGAUAUCAGGAGGAACACCGGUGGCGAAGGCGGUUCUCUGGGCCUUACCUGACGCUGAGGCACGAAGGCCAGGGGAGCAAACGGG
rnacentral:rRNA from 1 species